AUUGAACGCUGGCGGCAGGCCUAACACAUGCAAGUCGAGCGGAUGAAGGGAGCUUGCUCCUGGAUUCAGCGGCGGACGGGUGAGUAAUGCCUAGGAAUCUGCCUGGUAGUGGGGGAUAACGUCCGGAAACGGGCGCUAAUACCGCAUACGUCCUGAGGGAGAAAGUGGGGAAUCUUCGGACCUCACGCUAUCAGAUGAGCCUAGGUCGGAUUAGCUAGUUGGUGGGGUAAAGGCCUACCAAGGCGACGAUCCGUAACUGGUCUGAGAGGAUGAUCAGUCACACUGGAACUGAGACACGGUCCAGACUCCUACGGGAGGCAGCAGUGGGGAAUAUUGGACAAUGGGCGAAAGCCUGAUCCAGCCAUGCCGCGUGUGUGAAGAAGGUCUUCGGAUUGUAAAGCACUUUAAGUUGGGAGGAAGGGCAGUAAGUUAAUACCUUGCUGUUUUGACGUUACCAACAGAAUAGGCACCGGCUAACUUCGUG
rnacentral:rRNA from 1 species